UCAGAGAACCUCAAUAGCAUGUUUUCUUUUUCCUGGAGAUGUUUAUGAAGGGCAGUGUGUUAAGAGCAGCAGAGUUUAUCCCAUAUAACCUGAGAGUUACAUAUACAAUACAGUAGAUUUCCACAUAUUGAUCUUUUCUUCUGCUUUCUUCUGCUUAUUAAGAGUCCAGAGUGGAAACAUUAAUGUAUUCAAUAAUCAGUGCUCUGAAACACUCAUGGUACAAAAACAUCUGUUCCACUACAGUAACCCCACCCACACACACACACACACACACGUUUCCAUAGAGAGAGGUUCCACUUUGCAUUAGCAGCUCAUGCUUCAGCGCUCUGCGAGUGUUUAUAGCCCUGUGACUUUAACACUUCAUGACUGAGAGCUGCUGCUCAGCGACUUCACCCACAGCAACCAUGAGUUUGAUCAGCGUCUUCAUCUGCACACUGGCCCUCUGCGCUCGAGGAUCCAGAGGUCAGGUGACUGUGACUCAGAGUCCUGCAUUGAAAUCUGUUUCUCCAGGAGACACACUCACCAUCAGCUGUAAAACCAGUCCUGCUGUUUACUCUAUUGGUAGUACCUAUUAUUUCUCCUGGUAUCAGCAGAAAGCUGGAGAAGCUCCUAAACUCCUGAUCAGCUAUGCUAGCAGUAGAGAAUCAGGUAUUCCAGCUCGUUUCAGUGGCAGUGGAUCUGGAUCUGAUUUCACUCUGACCAUCAGUGGAGUCCAGGCUGAAGAUGCUGGAGAUUAUUACUGUCAGAGUUUCCAUUCUAUCAGUAGUAGCAAUGUGUUCACACAGUGUUAGAGCGUCGUACAAAAACCUGGGUGAGUGUGACUGCUGCAGCUGGGACCUACUGCAGGUGCUGAGGGGGACGAUGUGAUACAGCACAAUGACACACACUGUGGAGGAGAACACACACUCACACACACACACAGACACUACUCUAAAC